GACGAACGCUGGCGGCGUGCUUAACACAUGCAAGUCGAACGGAAAGGCCCUGCUGUGGUUGGGUGCUCGAGUAGCGAACGGGUGAGUCACACGUGAGUAACCUGCCCUUUACUUUGGGAUAACGUCAGGAAACUGGGGCUAAUACCGGAUAGGAGCUCCUGCUGCAUGGUGGGGGUUGGCACGGUUCGGGGGGUGGGGAUGGACGCGCGGCCUAUCAGCUUGUUGGUGGGGGAGUGGCUUACCAAGGCGUUGGCGGGUAGCCGGCCUGUGAGGGUGACCGGGCCCAUUGGGACUGGGAGACGGGCCCGACACCCACAGGGGGGAGAGGUGGGGGAAAUUUGACAAUGGGGGCGAGCCUCAUGUAGCAAAGCCGCGCGCGGGGUGACGGGCCUUGGGGUGUGAAACGCUUUUAGCAGGGACGCAACUGUUUGUGACGGUAACUGGAGAAGAAGCACCGGCUAACUACGUG
rnacentral:rRNA from 1 species